rnacentral:rRNA from 1 species
AUUGAACGCUGGCGGAAUGCUUUACACAUGCAAGUCGAACGGCAGCACGGGAGCUUGCUCCUGGUGGCGAGUGGCGAACGGGUGAGUAAUAUAUCGGAACGUAUCCAAUAAUGGGGGAUAACUAGUCGAAAGAUUAGCUAAUACCGCAUACGCCCUGAGGGGGAAAGCUGGGUAUCUUCGGACCUAGCGUUAAGGGAGCGGCCGAUAUCUGAUUAGCUAGUAGGUGAGGUAAAGGCUCACCUAGGCAUCGAUAAGUAGCUGGUCAGAGAGGACGACCAGCCACACUGGAACUGAGACACGGUCCAGACUCCUACGGGAGGCAGCAGUGGGGAAUUUUGGACAAUGGGCGCAAGCCUGAUCCAGCCAUUCCGCGUGAGUGAAGAAGGCCUUCGGGUUGUAAAGCUCUUUCGCAAGGGAAGAAAACUUAACCUCUAACAUAGGUUGAGGCUGACGGUACCUUGAUAAGAAGCACCGGCUAACUACGUGCCAGCAGCCGCCGUAA